UACGAAGGGGGCUAGCGUUGCUCGGAAUCACUGGGCGUAAAGGGCGCGUAGGCGGCGCAACAAGUCAGUUGUGAAAUCUCUGGGCUUAACCCAGAGCGGUCAACUGAUACUGUCGUGCUAGAGUGCGGAAGGGGCAACUGGAAUUCUCGGUGUAGCGGUGAAAUGCGUAGAUAUCGAGAGGAACACCUGCGGCGAAGGCGGGUUGCUGGGCCGACACUGACGCUGAGGCGCGAAAGCUAGGGGAGCGAACGGG
rnacentral:rRNA from 1 species